rnacentral:rRNA from 1 species
GUGGGGAAUAUUGGGCAAUGGGCGAAAGCCUGACCCAGCAACGCCGCGUGAAGGAAGAAGGUUUUCGGAUCGUAAACUUCUAUCCUUGGUGAAGAUAAUGACGGUAGCCAAGAAGGAAGCCCCGGCUAACUACGUGCCAGCAGCCGCGGUAAUACGUAGGGGGCAAGCGUUGUCCGGAAUGAUUGGGCGUAAAGGGCGCGUAGGCGGCCCGGUAAGUCUGAAGUGAAAGUCCUGCUUUUAAGGUGGGAAUUGCUUUGGAUACUGUCGGGCUUGAGUGCAGGAGAGGUAAGCGGAAUUCCCGGUGUAGCGGUGAGAUGCGUAGAGAUCGGGAGGAACACCAGUGGCGAAGGCGGCUUACUGGACUGUAACUGACGCUGAGGCGCGAAAGUGUGGGGAGCAAACAGGAUUAGAUACCCCAGUAGUCC